GAUUAACGCUGGCGGCGUGCCUAACACAUGCAAGUCGAGCGGCAGCGAGUUUUACACUGAAUUCUGGAAGCUUCUAGUUGAAAGAGAAGAUUUAUUCAAGAAUUUUGUGUAAAAUGUCGGCGAGCGGCGGACGGCUGAGUAACGCGUGGGAACGUACCCCAAAGUGAGGGAUAACGCAUCGAAAGGUGUGCUAAUACCGCAUAUGGUCUUCGGAUUAAAGCCUUCGGGCGCUUUGGGAACGGCCUGCGUAAGAUUAGAUAGUUGGUGGGGUAAUGGCCUACCAAGUCGACGAUCUUUAACUGGUUUGAGAGGAUGAUCAGUCAGACUGGAACUGAGACACGGUCCAGACUCCUACGGGAGGCAGCAGUGAGGAAUCUUCCACAAUGGGCGAAAGCCUGAUGGAGCAACGCCGCGUGCAGGAUGAAGGCCUUCGGGUUGUAAACUGCUUUUAUAAGUGAGGAUUAUGACAGUAACUUAUGAAUAAGGAUCGGCUAACUACGUG
rnacentral:rRNA from 1 species